UGCAGUCGAACGAUGAAGCCCAGCUUGCUGGGUGGAUUAGUGGCGAACGGGUGAGUAACACGUGAGUAACCUGCCCUUGACUCUGGGAUAAGCGCUGGAAACGGCGUCUAAUACCGGAUACGACCUGCCCCGGCAUCGGGUGCGGGUGGAAAGUUUUUCGGUCAAGGAUGGACUCGCGGCCUAUCAGGUAGUUGGUGAGGUAAUGGCUCACCAAGCCGACGACGGGUAGCCGGCCUGAGAGGGUGACCGGCCACACUGGGACUGAGACACGGCCCAGACUCCUACGGGAGGCAGCAGUGGGGAAUAUUGCACAAUGGGCGAAAGCCUGAUGCAGCAACGCCGCGUGGGGGAUGACGGCCUUCGGGUUGUAAACCUCUUUUAGUAGGGAAGAAGGGCUUCGGCUUGACGGUACCUGCAGAAAAAGCACCGGCUAACUACGUGCCAGCAGCCGCGGUAAUACGUAGGGUGCAAGCGUUGUCCGGAAUUAUUGGGCGUAAAGAGCUCGUAGGCGGUUUGUCGCGUCUGCUGUGAAAACCCGAGGCUCAACCUCGGGCCUGCAGUGGGUACGGGCAGACUAGAGUGCGGUAGGGGAGAAUGGAAUUCCUGGUGUAGCGGUGGAAUGCGCAGAUAUCAGGAGGAACACCGAUGGCGAAGGCAGUUCUCUGGGCCGUUACUGACGCUGAGGAGCGAAAGCGUGGGGAGCGAACAGGAUUAGAUACCCUGGUAGUCCACGCCGUAAACGUUGGGAACUAGAUGUGGGGACCUUUCCACGGUCUCCGUGUCGCAGCUAACGCAUUUAAGUUCCCCGCCUGGGGAGUACGGCCGCAAGGCUAAAACUCAAAGAAUUGACGGGGCCCGCACAAGCCGGCGGAGCUUGCGGAUUUAAUUCAAUGCAACCCGAAAGAACCUUACCAAAGGCUUGACAUUAUACCGGAAACCUCCAAAAAUGGUUGCCCCCCAAGGUCGGUAUACAAGUGGUGCAUGGUUGUCGUCAGCUCGUGUCGUGAGAUGUUGGUUAAGUC
rnacentral:rRNA from 1 species